UAGGCCUCGCCUAGAGGAGGGAAAGGCCGUGGCGUCCGCUCCCUCCGCGGCUCAUGGCGACGACGCUUGGCACAUCCGGGACCCUCAGGCCGCUGCAGUCGCGUCGCCGGCUGCUCGGGCCCCAGCCCCGGCCGCUGUGGUGACUCCGCCGCGCCUCGCCGUCGCCCCCGUCCCGCCCGCCGCCCCAGCCGCCAGGGACAUGUCUAACCUCGGAGGCCGUAGGAACGGGCCUGUCGAAGUGCGCCUGACAGGAAUCAUAUUGACAGGUCAUGAAAAUGAGACCAAAAGAUCUCUGGAAGCGAUUAAUGAUAAAAUUUCAUGGAGAAGAAGGCCUUGACUACGGAGGGGUUGCCAGGGUGAUGACAACUCCGUGAGGGUGGAGAUUAUACAUCUCUCAUCAUUUCAGCAACAAGGAAAUAAAUUAGUGGCAGAGUAAGGGUGACUUGUGGGAUUAACUUUGUUUCAAUUCACAGAGAUCUCUUGGAAGCGAGGAUCCUUUAAAAAUCCUGGAAUAUACACUGCAGUAAAAGAACAAAGCAUACCUCAGCCUUAAACGACUGAAGAAGAAUGUCAAGUGGGGAAGUGGCUUUGGUUUUCAGUUUGUGGGUUCUGAAUCCACACAAAGACAGGAUUGCUUUCUGAAAACCUGAAUUAAUUAUUGUCCUUACCUCAAUAAGACAAAAAAUUAGAAUCAAAAUCGUUAGUAUUACAGUCACAGAUAUCACCAAGAUUAGUUUGUUGUUAUAGCCAUAUCCUGGAACUUCUUUCGUGAGCUAAAAAAAAAAAAAAAGAAAAAAGGAAAGAACAAUUAAAAAAAGAGUGAAAGCUAACUUUUCAAAACCCCAGUAUUCUAGUUGAGUAGCUUACAGGUUCUUUUUUUUUUUUUUUUGAGACAGGGUCUCACUCUGUCACCCAGGCUGGAGUACAGUGGUGUGAUCACAGUUCACUGCAGACUCGACCUCCCUGGGCUCAGGUGAUCCUCCCACCUCAGCCUCUAGAGUAGCUGGAAUUAUAGGCACAAGUCACCACACCCAACUAAUUUUUGUAUUUUUUGUGAAGAUAGGGUUUCACUAUAUUGGUCAAGCUGGUCUCAAACUCCUCUGACUUCAAGUGAUCUACCCACCUCGGCCUCCCAAAGUGCUGGGUUUACAGGCGUGAGCUACCAUGCCCAGCCUACAGUUCAUCCUGUGCACUAAUCUGUUUCACUCUCUAAAUGAACAAAGUGGGAGAUCACUGUCAUGGCCAAAGUUACAUGGCCAAGACAAACUAUGGCCUGGGAGUCCCAGGUUCUCCUGUGUGGGCACUUUCCUGGCAUAUGCUAAAUGAUGGGAAAGUCUGGGUCUCAUGUUUCUGUGUGGUCCUCACCUCACUCGACUUCUGCUCUUUCUGUUCACUCUGGGCUUCUGUGCUUUCAUUAAUAUAGUUCUUAGUUUUCCACUGGUCUGUAUCCCAUUCUGCCUUGGACGCCUUUACUUCCUGCUGCUCACUGAGAAGCCUCAUCAGGAGGCCUGUCCUGGAGAUGAGCUUGGCACAGGUCACUUGCACAUAGGUCUCGGAGCAGUCCGUCUUCAAGGUCCAGAUAACAUGAGAAAUGAAGCUUCUCACAUCGUUGUUGGGGAUGACGGACUGUAGUUGAUGGGUUAGCGGAAUUUCAAACUGAUCACCUGGGGAUGAGAGCAAUGGGUAACUGAAGCUUUUGGGCUCGGGGGACAGGUCAGUGCCCACGUUGUUGUAUUCCCAUUUUGUCUCAGUUUGUUUAACAGUUGGCUCUAAGUUGAAUGCAGUCCUAGUGGGAAUCUGCCUCAGGAAGAUGAUUGUAGUUUGUGUUUUCAGAGAUGGUGCCUUCUGGCAUAGUAGUGUUUUCCAUAAAAACGUUUUCUUCAGAGGCAUUUCUUGCAGUUGUGUUUUUUACAGUAGUGUUUUCUAUAAAACAUUCUGAAGGAGCAAAUACUUCUGGAAAAGGGUUUUCUUGAGGACUCAGGUCUCCUGAGGAUGAAAAAGCCCCUUGUGAAGGGGAAUUUAUGAGGCUCUUCACUGCAGAGAACGGCGGCCUCUUUGCGAGCAUCAGUCUAUUGAGAUAACUUUUCUUUCUCAAUUUUCUAAUCUUUUUGGCCUUGGGUGUUCUGUGGGCCACACGGGAGUGAGUUUUAUGAAAGUGGUAUUUUUUUCUGGAAUGUACUACUCGUUUAGCAGCCUUCAUAUUUUUUAACUCUAGCCUUUGCAUUUUCUAAAAUUAAAAUGGUGUAGGCUAAGUCUUUCAAUCUGUCUAUGACCUGAGGUAGGGCUUUUGCAGUUGUGGAAGGCAGAAGGCAUGCCCAUGGAGAAGGGUUUCAGCAAAGAGGAGACUGUUGGCUUCUGCUCUUGGGUGAAUGAAGGCUUGGUGUAGACGGCGUUUCCCGCUACGUUCUCGGGCCCCUGCACUAUGUGAGGCUAUUCCAGCUCCCUUGGGGCUGGACUCCCGAGCCUUUUUUCUUUGGCAGCAUUCUCCCCAAAUGCCUGGGCACCCUGUUCCCUCCUGAUACUCUGCUUUCCCACCGCUUUGAAGGGCCUUUUCUGGAUGCUCCUUGGGCCCAUGAGGACUCUGUUCACUCUCUGCAGGUUUUUGCCUACACUUUGAACCUUUGCCAGGCUGUUUUCCUGUGGUUGGACAGUUUCUAAUUUCUUUUCAAAUAUUUGGCAUUUAAAUUUGUUACCUAGAAGGCUGGACUGCAUAAGCAUGGCAGUUUUUUCUUCCCUUUUAACUUCAUCGAUUUUUUUCUUGUAUUUCUGCAUCUAACAUCUUUUCUAGCAAAUACACCUUUCUCAAUUUAUUUUCAUAAGUUGAAUUGUUGGAUGCAGGUUGAAACAAGGGGCUCUUUGUAUUGUUUUUCAAAACAGGAGCUUAUCUCCAUCUUGCACAUUUGAAAAAAGCAGUUUAAUGAAUGGUAACAACAUUGAUUCCGCAUCUAGAUUUCCUGCUGAGAAAUAAGGCAAGAUGUAAUUUAGCGCAGUGAUAACAUCACUCUUAUCAUAAGUGUCUAGCUGCUCACUCCCAAAGACUGACAAGUUGAUGCCACUGCUGUCUGAGGCUGCCUCCGGCUCAGUAGUCAGCUCAAUGCUCAUGUGCUUCUUCUGGGCUUGUAACACCUUCAUGAACACUCUUUCUGGAUUCCCUACAGAUGCUUCUUCACCUGUCAAAAAAAAGAGACUGCUUUGAUCAUGAAAGAUAAUGGAACGGCAUGCAUCAGUCCACAGCUGUAUGCCCCAGUCACACAAAGUAGGAGUCAGCAAACAUUAGAGUGCCAUUCAGAGAGGAGAAACACACACCCAAGCCUAAAUCUAUGAAAUGGCAACAACAAAAGGAGGAAAAGACAUCUUUUGAAAAUAUGGCUACUUACUUGGAACAUUCCUAGUGUGACAUAGAGUAACUCUGCUUAGGAUUAUUUCGUUGAUCCCCAGGGGCCAAUUGCCCAGUGCUCAGUCAAAGCCCAAGGUGGAAGACAAGUGCUUCCCUGAUGAGCUGUCCUCUCUGCAGACUGCUCCGUACCCUGUGCUGUCCUGCCUCAGAUGCAGAGAGAGCACAAGCCUCCCUCCUCAUCCUCAGUGUGCCUGUGUUCUUACUACCAUCACAGCUGAAUGCAAUGAAAGGCUAUCCUCUGAGAGGAGCAGGGUGGAGAUGCUAAAGUGGAGGCCCCCUCCCAUUGCUGAUAGAUCCUCAUCUGGCAUGCACUCCACCCACCCACCCCAUUCUCUGCUACCACAUAUCGUAGCCCCAUUAAAGAAGAAGUGACAUGGAAAAAACACUGUGCCCACCCUAGUCCUUUUCUUAAAUUUGGGCAGAGAUCCAGGGUAUAGGUUAAGAGAUUUUUAAUUUGCCAGAUGGUAUGCCUAUGUUGUUAAAUAUACAAUGAAUCUAUGGUAUGAUAGCAGUUUCUGGAUAAACAUUACUUGAGGUCCUAAAAUGCAGAAGGGAAAAAGCAGCUUUUGUCAGAUGCUUACUUUGCUUUCAUUUCAUCUCUAAUAUUUUGGAUGGGGAACCAUCCAAAGCUUCUGGCCGCAUGAAGGUCAAGUGUGCCAGUGUGCAGCUGGGUUUCUUUUCCAGAAUUAAAAGUAUUUUGGGUGGUGCUGAGGGUCAGAGGAAGAAGUAAAAAUUGUGAGAAAGGAGAAACAUGGGCUUGGGGAGAACCCAGAAUUGGGGACAGAAGACCUGGCACUAAGCUAUAGCACUUAGCACCUCUGAUCUUGUUUUUCCUCGUCCGUAAAAGGAGAUUAACAAUGCUUUUCUGCCCACCUCUUGGGGAGAAGGGAAUAAUUUAGUUGGUAAAAAAAAAACUUUUGAAUAAUAAGCAACUCUGUCUUUAUAUAAGUAGCCAAGCAUUAUUAAUUAUCCACCCCAUAUCACUGGUAGAUACCUGUAUUCAAGCUAUGUGGACAUAAAAG
rnacentral:lncRNA from 1 species